rnacentral:rRNA from 1 species
UACAGAGGGGGCAAGCGUUGUUCGGAAUUACUGGGCGUAAAGGGCGCGUAGGCGGCCUUCUAAGUCGAACGUGAAAUCCCCGGGCUCAACCCGGGAACUGCGUCCGAUACUGGAAGGCUUGAAUCCGGGAGAGGGAUGCGGAAUUCCAGGUGUAGCGGUGAAAUGCGUAGAUAUCUGGAGGAACACCGGUGGCGAAGGCA